CGACGGUAUGAGGACCACAGGGAUUGCCUUAGUAGCGGCGAGUGAAGCGGCAAAAGCUCAAAUUUGAAAUCUGGCUCUUUCAGAGUCCGAGUUGUAAUUUGAAGAAGGUAUCUUUGGGUCUGGCUCUUGUCUAUGUUUCUUGGAACAGAACGUCACAGAGGGUGAGAAUCCCGUGCGAUGAGAUGAUCCAGGCCUAUGUAAAGUUCCUUCGAAGAGUCGAGUUGUUUGGGAAUGCAGCUCUAAGUGGGUGGUAAAUUCCAUCUAAAGCUAAAUAUUGGCGAGAGACCGAUAGCGAACAAGUACAGUGAUGGAAAGAUGAAAAGAACUUUGAAAAGAGAGUGAAAAAGUACGUGAAAUUGUUGAAAGGGAAGGGCUUGAGAUCAGACUUGGUAUUUUGUAUGUUACUUCUUCGGGGGUGGCCUCUACAGUUUAUCGGGCCAGCAUCAGUUUGGGCGGUAGGAGAAUUGCGUUGGAAUGUGGCACGGCUUCGGUUGUGUGUUAUAGCCUUCGUCGAUACUGCCAGCCUAGACUGAGGACUGCGGUUUAUACCUAGGAUGUUGGCAUAAUGAUCUUAAGUCGCCCGUCUUGACACACAGGGAAACA
rnacentral:rRNA from 1 species